rnacentral:rRNA from 1 species
GAUGAACGCUGGCGGCGUGCCUAAUACAUGCAAGUCGAGCGAACGGACGAGAAGCUUGCUUCUCUGAUGUUAGCGGCGGACGGGUGAGUAACACGUGGAUAACCUACCUAUAAGACUGGGAUAACUUCGGGAAACCGGAGCUAAUACCGGAUAAUAUUUUGAACCGCAUGGUUCAAAAGUGAAAGACGGUCUUGCUGUCACUUAUAGAUGGAUCCGCGCUGCAUUAGCUAGUUGGUAAGGUAACGGCUUACCAAGGCAACGAUGCCUAGCCGACCUGAGAGGGUGAUCGGCCACACUGGAACUGAGACACGGUCCAGACUCCUACGGGAGGCAGCAGUAGGGAAUCUUCCGCAAUGGGCGAAAGCCUGACGGAGCAACGCCGCGUGAGUGAUGAAGGUCUUCGGAUCGUAAAGCUCUGUUAUUAGGGAAGAACAUAUGUGUAAGUAACUGUGCACAUCUUGACGGUACCUAAUCAGAAAGCCACGGCUAACUACGUG